UCAAGCACACACUGUCUUUCAACACCCAAUGCUUUUUUUAGGUUCUCUUCCCGCUUCUCCACUUCAAACAUCGCACUCGAAUGAGCUGCUUGCUCUCUUUUUAGGUUAUCAGUCACAUCUGCUAAAGCUUGCUUCAGUUCAUCAUACUUGAAACUCCAAUCCUUCUUUUCAAUCAAAAGAAGCCCCAUGUUGUACUGAUACUCAAAAAGCUGCAAGAAAUCAGAUUUUAAGACAACACAUCAAUAAAAAUAAUGUUUACGCGAACAACAUAUUACCAACUGAUUUAAGAUCACACUGUUCAAUUUCUAGCUACUGCAGGACUAGGGGUUAUUCACUUGUAAACAAUAUAACUAAUAAUAGCCAAUAAAAAGUACAACAUUAAAUACAAAUAGUUCAUAUUUCUAGAAAUUCAAGAAUAAGUACACAUUCAAUAAGAGGAUAAAUAAUCUACAAGUAGCUAGAAAUAUCCAAAACUCAUUGAAAGUGUCCUGAGUUGAGUUUACGGGAAGUUGCUGAAUUUGGCAUGCCACAGGCCCACAAAGAGUCUCACAAUAGAGAACUUAAGAAAACAAAGCGUAGCCUUAAGAGCAUGAGGUUUGGACAAUCUUGGACCCCAACCAACAAGUAAAUUAAGCUUAUGCAUCAUAAUAAAAAGGUAACUCGGGAUAGGUAUUAAUGAAGAGUCUGGGUCACGGUGGAACCUCCCACAACCACACUCCUUGAACCAUGGAAUAGAACAUAAUCUAUCUACCUAAUGGCAUGAGUGGAAAUUAGCAACUACCACUAUCGUUCAAACUAUAGUUAAUUGCUCAUGACAAGGUUUCGCUAGUGCUCAAACCAAUUCCGAGCAACUAAAACCCGCCAACUAACAAACUUUCUGAAAGUGCAUUGAUAAUCUUCCCCAAGAUUUAUUACUUGAUCAACUCUCUCUCACACUGGAAUCCAUGGAAAUCAUUCUGAAAUCCCUCAAAUCUACAACUGAUCUAACCGUCACACUUUAGACACAGUCUAGAAACGAAACAACAUCACCAAACAAACAAGCAGAAUAAAGUUUUAACUAAUUGGCCGAAAUUAAACACGUGCGUACCUCAUUCUCGAGCUUCGAGACCUUCUCAGUCAACGGGUCUCGGUCGUCCAGAACAAAUGCCACAGCUUUCCCUUUCGCCAAAGCCUCGCCAUUCCUCGGGCUCAACGAGCUAGCGUUCAAGCCCGAAGCAGGCCCGGACCCGCUCUUCUGAACCGGCUCGCUCCUAGGCGUCACCGCCCACAACUUCUGCGGCGAAAACAUUCUACAGCAGAUCCCCGAGUCGAUCAAGAGGCUGUCAAGAUUCCAGUAAAUGGAGCAGUGAUUCUGAGCACUGAGAUACAGAAUUAAACCCUAAAUUCGAAGGGAACCCUGAGGCGGACGCCAACACAGUUCCCAAAUUCCGGCCGAUAGGACGUUGUCAAGUCCGGUAACGUCUCGAAACUAACUUUCUCUCUCCACCUUUAUCUCUCUCUCUCUCUCUCUCUCUCUCAGAGCCCCACCUUUCGUGGUGUGCGCGGAUCGCUCACGUUCUUCUAUUUUUGCCUAUUUUACGCCCCGACAGCGAUUCCCGCAGGUGAAUGGACGUUUCUACCCCCGGAAACGAUGCUUUUAUAUCCGUUGGAGCGGGGCAAUACGGGAAAAUCGCAGGGCCGCCUUUCUGUGACCAACGUGGAGCAUAAAUCUUAGGACGAAACUGCCCUCGCACUGAGGGGUUGAUGUGUAAAAAACGGGAAAUCNUUUUCCUUCAAUGUAUUAUCAAGUUCAUUUGCUCUUUCCUCUCUUUGGUUCAGUAAUCGUCUACCAUCAACCAGUCUCUCCUCAGCUUCCUGUAAUUUCCGUUCCCAUUCUCGCAAGUCUUCUCGUUGUUUAGACAUAUCAGCAUCACGAGCUUCACGCCUGAGAAAAAGAGACUUAUAUGUCGGAUUACAAUUAACCAGCCAGAUAAUUCCCGAGAGGAAUCAACUAUGCAAGAAAGAACAUAGGAAACGAGCUAAAGCACUUAACCAUACUCUGUGGUAAACAAAGACCGUUCUCUUCGGAGUAAAUUUUCUUGAGCCUCCAACUCAUGCAAUUUCCUCUCAAUUUCUGAGCUCUUCCUGCUAACUCCAGCAAGUUUAGCAUCAGCAGAAUGAAGUUUUGCUUCCACCUCCAGUGAUUUCUCUUCAACACCUGUGACUAAUGCAUUGGCCUCGGCCAAUUUAGAAUCAGCAUUAAACUUGAUUUCAGCAUGUUCCGACCGCAUCUCACGUAAAGCCUUCUCGAGCUGUGACAACCAACAUCAUAACAAGUUAAGUACCUACUACGAGUCAGAUAAUAACAAAUGUAGUUCCAAUCUAAUAAAUAAAAACCACAAUUUGAUAUCACUCAUCUACCAAUAAAUGUUCUCUGCUAUGUCGUUCCCUCCAAAUUAUAUUAAUAUUUCACUCAUAACCUAUGCAGGCAACUAGUGGACAUUGCAUACAACUAUAUAGACUAGCAAAUUAUCCUCAAAUCCAUUCUUCUUAACACCAUUGGGAUGCUUUUAAUUGUUAGAGAGAUACGUGCUUGUUUUCGAAAUGAAAGCCAUAUAUGCAUAAUGCAAUAUGGAAGUGCAAAUCUUACAUCAAGCACACACUGUCUUUCAACACCCAAUGCUUUUUUUAGGUUCUCUUCCCGCUUCUCCACUUCAAACAUCGCACUCGAGUGAGCUGCUUGCUCUCUUUUUAGGUUAUCAGUCACAUCUGCUAAAGCUUGCUUCAGUUCAUCAUACUUGAAACUCCAAUCCUUCUUUUCAAUCAAAAGAAGCCCCAUGUUGUACUGAUACUCAAAAAGCU
rnacentral:lncRNA from 1 species